UCCCUGUAUAUGCAUCUGUAAUGAACAGACGUCAUUUGUUUAUUUCAGAGGGCAGAAAAUUUUGAAGCAAUUAUCCAUGAUCUUCUGCCCAAAGGGUUGUCAAGUGCACGCAAGGUAAGAUCACAUUAGUACAAAAUUUCUUAUAUAACUUUGUACUUUUGAGGUUCGAUAUUAAUCUUGUAUUUUUGUAUUCAAAUUUACGUGCUUAUUAUAUGUAAGAAGAUUUUCCCAUGUAAAUAUGACUUGCAGUGUUCAGUGGUAAUAUUGAAGUGAACUUCAGCUAUACUUCAUUUGCUUUUUUCUCUGCUGUAGGCAUGCUUUCAGGUUGCUCUGCUGGGGGUCUAGCAACCUUUCUGCACUGUGACAACUUACAAAGAUGUUACCAUGCAAUGCAAGUGUGAAAUGUUUAAGUGAUGCUGGAUUUUUUCUAGGUGAACGAGACAUAACUUUGAAUUUUACCAUGAGGUCCUUCUAUCAUGAUCUAAUCGCUUUACAGGGGAUAGAGAAAAAUCUAAAUCCAAAUUGCAAGAAAUCGAUCAACAACCCGAAGCUGUGUUUCUUUCCCCAGUAUGCAUUGAAAUAAUCACAAGCCCUAU